UACGAAGGGGGCUAGCGUUGUUCGGAAUUACUGGGCGUAAAGCGCGCGCAGGCGGUCUUCCAAGUCAGUGGUGAAAGCCCUCAGCUCAACUGAGGAAGUGCGCCCGAAACUGCAGAGCUUGAGUGCCGGAGAGGGUGGCGGAAUUCCCCAAGUAGAGGUGAAAUUCGUAGAUAUGGGGAGGAACACCGGUGGCGAAGGCGGCCACCUGGACGGUAACUGACGCUGAGACGCGAAAGCGUGGGAGCAAACAGG
rnacentral:rRNA from 1 species